rnacentral:rRNA from 1 species
GACGAACGCUGGCGGCGUGCUUAACACAUGCAAGUCGAACGGAAAGGCCCUGCUUUUGUGGGGUGCUCGAGUGGCGAACGGGUGAGUAACACGUGAGUAACCUGCCCUUGACUUUGGGAUAAAUUCAGGAAACUGGGGCUAAUACCGGAUAGGAGCUCCUGCUGCAUGGUGGGGGUUGGAAAGUUUCGGCGGUUGGGGAUGGACUCGCGGCUUAUCAGCUUGUUGGUGGGGUAGUGGCUUACCAAGGGUUUGAGGGGUAGCCGGCCUGGGAGGGUGACCGGCCACAUUGGGACUGAGAGACGGCCCAGACUCCUACGGGAGGCAGCAGUGGGGAGUAUUGCACAAUGGGGGGAAGCCUGAUGCAGCAACGCCGCGUGCGGAAUAACGGCCUUCGGGUUGUAAACCGCUUUCGCCUGAGACGAAGCGUGAGUGACGGUAACUGGUAAAGAAGCACCGGCUAACUACGUG